CCUACGGGGGGCAGCAGUCGAGAAUUAUUCACAAUGGGGGAAACCCUGAUGGUGCGACGCCGCGUGGGGGAAUGAAGGUCUUCGGAUUGUAAACCCCUGUCAUGUGGGAGCAAAUUAAAAAGAUAGUACCACAAGAGGAAGAGACGGCUAACUCUGUGCCAGCAGCGGCGGUAAUACAGAGGUGUCAAGCGUUGUUCGGAAUCACUGGGCGUAAGGCGUGCGUAGGCUGUUUCGUAAGUAGUGUGUGAAAGGCGCGGGCUCAACCCGCGGACGGCACAUGAUACUGCGAGACUAGAGUAAUGGAGGGGGAACCGGAAUUCUCGGUGUAGCAGUGAAAUGCGUAGAUAUCGAGAGGAACACUCGUGGCGAAGGCGGGUUCCUGGACAGUAACUGACGCUGAGGCACGAAGGCCAGGGGAGCGAAAGGGAUUAGAUACCCGAGUAGUC
rnacentral:rRNA from 1 species